GACAGAGGGUGCAAACGUUGUUCGGAAUUACUGGGCGUAAAGCGUGUGUAGGCGGCCAUGUAAGUCGGAUGUGAAAGCCCCGGGCUCAACCCGGGAAGUGCAUUCGAUACUGCGUGGCUUGAGUAUCGGAGAGGUUGGUGGAAUUCUUGGUGUAGAGGUGAAAUUCGUAGAUAUCAAGAGGAACACCGGUGGCGAAGGCGGCCAACUGGACGAAUACUGACGCUGAGACACGAAAGCGUGGGGAGCAAACAGG
rnacentral:rRNA from 1 species